AACUUUCCAAUUCAGUUUAACACUAUGGGGUGCUGUUUUGACACUAAUAUAUAAUUGAAUCAACUGAAUAUUUAUUUUCACUUCAACAAUACAUAUCAAUACCUUUAACUAAUUUUGGAAAUAAUUUCAAGAUUAUGGAUAAUUUCAUUUCAAUAUUUUUAUUAUUUGUUGGUUUGAAAAAUUGAAUUGUUUCCUUUAAAGAAAUGAUAUAGUUGAAAUACUUCUAAGGAAUAGAGUGCCGGUCGGCACCAUUUGCAUUUUCGCAAGAACCGUAAACUAAUCACGAAUGGAAUAAGAAUUAACAAUGUGUUUUGUGUUUUUCAAGGAAAUGAAGAGGUUUACAGUUUCUUUUUGAUUAUACGUGGAUUGAAGUUUUUCAGUGUUUUCACAGACAUGAAGGAAUUUCUUAAUAACUUGGGAUUAAAUGACCUAAUUGGCAUUUUUAAAGACAGAAAAUGAUGUAACCUUAGACAUAGCUAAAAGGCUCACUGAUGAAGAAAUGAAAGAAAUGACUCUCCCAAUUGGCAAAAGAAAAAUAUUCAAUCAAGGAAGCAAUUGAUGGAAUAAAUUAAGAAUCAUAUAUAACAGAGGUAUGUCUUUCAAUCAUAACUUUAAUAA